GACGAACGCUGGCGGCGUGCUUAACACAUGCAAGUCGAACGCUGAAGCCCUUUCGGGGGUGGAUGAGUGGCGAACGGGUGAGUAACACGUGGGUAAUCUGCCCUGUACUUCGGGAUAAGCCUUGGAAACGGGGUCUAAUACCGGAUAGGACCUGUCCUCGCAUGGGGGUGGGUGGAAAGUUCCGGCGGUAUGGGAUGAGCCCGCGGCCUAGCAGCUUGGUGGUGGGGUGAUGGCCUACCAAGGCGACGACGGGUAGCCGGCCUGAGAGGGUGACCGGUCACACUGGGACUGAGACACGGCCCAGACUCCUACGGGAGGCAGCAGUGGGGAAUCUUGCGCAAUGGGCGAAAGCCUGACGCAGCAACGCCGCGUGGGGGAUGACGGCCUUCGGGUUGUAAACCUCUUUCGGUAUCGACGAAGGGGUCCUUGUUGGGGCUCUGACGGUAGGUGCAGAAGAAGCACCGGCUAACUACGUGCCAGCAGCCGCGGUAA
rnacentral:rRNA from 1 species